rnacentral:rRNA from 1 species
UGCCAGCAGCCGCGGUAAUACGGAGGGUGCAAGCGUUGUUCGGAAUUACUGGGCGUAAAGCGCGCGUAGGCGGCUUUUUGAGUCAGAUGUGAAAGUCCGCGGCUCAACCGUGGAAGUGCAUUUGAAACUGGGAGGCUUGAGUAUUGGAGGGGGUGGUGGAAUUCCCGGUGUAGAGGCGAAAUUCGUGGAUAUCGGGAGGAAUACCGGUGGCGAAGGCGACCACCUGGCCAAAUACUGACGCUGAGGUGCGAAAGCGUGGGGAGCAAACAGGAUUAGAUA